CCUCCACUGACAGCCCUAACAGAGGGGCCAGGCCGGGAGAGGAGAGGAGAGCAACCCCCAGUGUGGCCUGACCGAGAGACUCAAUGCCAAGCCCUUCUCCUCCUCAGACAGCCUAGUGAAGGUCCAGGAGGUAGCAAGCUGGCUUUUGGAAAUGAACCAGGAUCUGCUGUCGGGGGGCAGCAGGCGGGGCCUGGGGGGCCGGCGAGGGGGCCCGGGGGCCCAGCGAGGUAACGCCUCCUCCUCGGCCCGGACGCCCCAGGGCCAGCAGCCUGGAGAGGAGGCCGACGAGGAGGAGCACAUGAACCGGGUGGUGGAGGACCAAGAACACCAGCAGUCCAGAGUCCAGCCUGCGGCCUCGGCAGGGGGGGAAGGAGUGGAAGAACCGUGGACCUCCAGGGAGAAUGGACCCCAGGGAGACGGGGAGGAGGAGGAUGGAGGAGGAGUACCCAACGAGGUGAACGGAGGAGUGACUAAGGGCGGCCGGUGGAUGUGGGAGGCGGAGCGACGGCAACAGGGGGGGGAUGACGACGAGGAGGAGGAAGAGGAGAACAACAACAGUGGCAGCCAGCAGGGAGAGGAGGAGGAGGAAAGGACAGAGGGAGGAGAGCGAACGGGGAGGGAUGAGGAGGACGAGGAGGAGAUGGACCAGGACAGUGAUGACUUUGAGCAUUCGGAGGAGAGUGGGAGGGAGGAGGAAGAGGAGGAGGAGGGCGAGGAUGGCCUCCACUCACCCUCCCUCAGGAGUGAUGUGUCUGUCCCCAACAACAACCUGGACCAGUCCUCGGGAUGCCAACACCAAAGCUCACCCAUCAAGAAGAAGGUAAGCAGAUCUUGUGUUUGUUCAAUUUGUUUUCUAUAUGUGUAAGCCACACAACCCUCCAGGCUCCUUGUCCUCGGACAUCGCUAUGCAUCAUUUGUCAGUCAAACAUACAUUCGUCAGUCAAACAUGCACCUUCGUCAUAAUACCCUUUGUGACCAGGGUGAACGGGUGUUUAAUCACCACUAGGGGGCAAUACUUACCUACAUGCUCACUCAGAGAGAGAGAGAGGGGGAGAGAAGCAUGCAGCAGCUCAGCCCAGUGACACCCCACCCCUUCCCCGUCCUCAUGUUACUCCUCUGUUACUCAACCUGACCUGUGGUUGGUUGUGGCACCACGGCUCAUUCAGCCCUCCGAUUAAUUGCCUGUCCCUGUUCUAUUUACCAGUGGACCGCAUUAGAGGUGCUUUGUACCUGUGCGUUUUAACAAGAUGCUAUGGGAACGCGCCAGGCUAGGCUGAUUAAACAAGCUGCAGUUGAUUGGAUUAGGGCAGUGACACCCUGAAGAGAACCCCUCGGGUCAUCGUUUGGUUUUGUCUGACUGUAGCAGUGUGGACCUUUCCCAGCAACCACUUUGCGUGCUUUGAGACAGUGCCUGUUCUGCUGUCUGCCAACUGAGCAGAGUGACCCUCUCUAUACACACACACAGACACACACACACAUGAUUUAUAGCCCCAUUGAAUGUGCAUGUUGUUAUGACAACUACAAGUGCAUGCAGCAUUCAGUCUUGCAUUAGGAUGUUAAGGGACACUUUCUCUCUCUCUCUCUGUCUCUCUCUCUGUCUCUCUCUCUGUCUGUCUCUCUGUCUGUCUCUCUCUCUGUCACUCUCUCUGUCACUCUGUCACUCUCUGUCACUCUGUCUGUCACACUGUCUGAGAUUCACAAUACCAGGAAAAAUACGAUGUGGAUGAGAAAUGUUUUUUUUUUCCAUAAAAGUUUUGAAUUCAGCCUAUUUCUUCAGCAGUGGUAUUUCUUUGAAUAUCAAUUUCCAUUGCGAAGGCUACAUAUAUUAGUGUGACAGGCUGUUUUGAAUUGAAUGCAUUGGAUGAAUGUUCUCAGUUAAGCUAUUAGUGAAGGAAAGAGGACAUUAUGGUCUUUAGCUACAUUCAUAGUAAAUGGAAAUCAAGCAAAUAUGUGUUUUUGUAGAGAGAAGCCCGUUUAACUGACUUGUUAAUGUAGACGAAUCGUCAUUCAAUGGAGAGGGAAGGGGACCACCAACUGUGUUCCCAUUGACUUACCAGCGUUAUUGGCCCCUCUUACAUAUUACUGAGCUCUGUUAACCACUCAAAGGAGAGCGAGACUGAACUGCAUUCAGGCCGUGCUCAGUGAAAUGUGCUGCAGUCCCCGGGUGAUGGUCUAUAGAUUCCGCUCUGUGGACAAGCUGGCCAUUGUGGUGAUAGUGCUGUGGUGUUGUAAUUAUACAGUGGUGUGAUGGAUGAAGUGUUGGCUCAACCUGCGGCCCAUUUGUGGCAGUCAGGGCAAGAAGUCAAGUAAAGCCGUCUGAUAAUUGCAUUUGUCCACCGACACGAUUAGCUAUAGGCACAGAUCGGGGGACAGAGGGGCCAGUGUAUUCAGGCCCCACGGCUUGGCCUCCCGGCGGGAGGGGUGGUCCCCCUGGGUCCCAGCACAGGAAGGAGGGCCACGCGUCACCACCGCAUGAUGGGGGUCGUUUGACUGCCAACCCGGCGGCACACUGCCCCGGCACAGCGUGGGAUGGCGGGGGCUGAGUGGGGAGCCUGGCGAGGCAUCAAUGAAGUUUAUGCGACGGGCAACUCGACAUAACAGUGCGGGUCCAAAAGCCACGUCUCUGUUGUGUCUCCUUCGCUCUCGACACACACACGCACGCACACACACACACACACACACACACACACAGGAGCCUGACUCGCCGCGGGUAGUCUGCCUCUUGUCACGGAAGAGGCCGCUACGGGGUCACGGAUCCCCCCUCCACUGGGAACCCCUACGGUGAGGCUGUAGGAGUAACACGUGUACACACACACACCUGCCUUUGAUAGCAGCGCAACCGGAGCCUCUCUGUUUAGAAGCUUCUACCUAAUAGAUUAACGACAGCCAAAUUGAAUGGGAAUGUUAACUUGAAGAGCUGCAAGGCUUUUUAUAUUCUUCUGUUACCUUUUAAAAGCUCUAGUCACCUGUGUUUAUAACUAGGGCGUUGUGUUUCCUAGGGUUGUUCUGUAGACUUCUUGGUCAGGUCUGUGAAUUUGAGUUGAGCCUCCACACAGCGCGAUAAGACAAACAAACCAACCGCAGUGAAUUAGUCCAGUCAGUGGCAGAUUAAAUUAAGCUAUUUACGUUUAUACGUUUAACUUUUGGAGUUAAACAGCCCCUUGCAGGCCUGGACCAGCAUAAAUCUCUAGUUGUGGGCAAGUUGGGGUGCUUGCCAAAAAAUACAUUACUUUUGCAAUCCAGUCAUUGUUUGCGGUGUGUGUGCUUGCGAAUAGGGAUUUGAUGGAGGACAUGUUCACUUAAGAGAUGUUUAAGUGUUUCUAUUUCUAGACGAUCCUUUAUUCAAACCAGGACAAUGGCACUAGGCCUCUUUACUGAGAGAGAUGCUGCUGAGGCCUUCCCUCUAUGCUGACCGGUGAUAUCCACACUGUCCUUUUUAGACUUGGGCCAAAUUCAAUACAACAGUUUACAGACUGGGCCUGUACCCAACCUGCUGUGCUGUGUCUGAGUGAUUUGUAACUCUGCACAACUUUGGAGAACCACCAAAGCUCCAACCCCAGAACGGGUUAUAUGUGAUUUAUUAUGACCUGGGUGGUUGGAGCCCUGAAUGCUGGUAUCAGAACGUAUACCACGGGUAUAACCAAACAUGUAUUUUUACUGCUCUAAUUAUGUUGGUAACCAGUUAACAAUAGCAAUAAGGCAGUUCGGGUUUGUGAUAUGUGGCCAAUAUACUGCUGCUAAGGGCUGUGUCAAGGCACUCGGUGUUGCGUGGUGGCUAAGAAAAGCCCUUAGCUGUGUUAUAUUGGCCAUAUACCACCCAUAUACCACCCUCUUGGUCUCAAGACUCCAUCCUCUUUGAACUCUUGGAUGGCCUAAACUUUUCUAUUGAGCCUAGGGUUAGUCUAUGUAAGGAGUUUGAUUGGUGUGAGACCUGAACUUAACUAUAUUGUGACAGAAGGCACUGAGAAGGCCCUUCUGGGGGCACGGCAAUCCCCAAUACCACCACAACUCCUAUUCUUCCUGGAGGCUCCCCAUGGAGUCCCCUUUUCUCCAAUCUCAGUGUGCAUUCAACUGGCCACUUGGAAACUGCCCCCCCC
rnacentral:lncRNA from 13 species